CAAAUCCUGGGUUGUACGCCAGUUGGUUAAGUCCUCGAGCCGAUACUAACAUCCAAGGGUGGCAUCGGGCGCACGGUGCGCAAGUCCGUUUGCGGAAAGCCUAAUGUGUGCUCACGCUCCCCGUCUUGAACCCUUCGGUUCAAGGGCAAAACCGACAGCGGCAACCUGGGUGAUUA
rnacentral:other from 1 species